rnacentral:lncRNA from 1 species
GUGGUGCUAUGUAGCAGGAACCCCUCUUGCUUUGCAAAUAGUUUUUUGUUUGUUUUCCUUUUUGCCCAAUAGAGCCCUGCUCUACUGACCCUUCAAUGUGCCCGUGUGCCUAAAUAUUCCUGGUCGUGUGAAAAGAACCCAGGUAUUAGCUGAACUAAGGAGCACAAUUCUGCAACAUUUUGGCACCCAAACACGGGGCUUGAGAAAUGAAUGCAAUUGGAGAAACUGGUUGUUUUACCAGGCGUUGAUUGGAAAUGUGUGCUUCCCUUUAAGCAGUCAAGCUCAACUUGCAGAACUGAUGGGAACCCCUUGGGAAAACUGGCCUCAAAUGUUUGUCUACACAGUCCACAUACAGGGUUCUUAACCUGCGACUGACCCUGCUUGUGCCUGUGAACCAACCAACAAUCUCUGGCUGCAGCUCAGAAAGGACAAAAGAGAAUGGGUAAUGUAAAAACCUGGAUCAGUAUUUUAGUUCUGAACAAUUAUCCUGCAAAUCCUGCCAGCUGAUGGGAAUAAAUAGGAUGCCCAUGAUCCGGAGGUUUACUUUUUGGGAAAGUAAAACCAAGGGAGCUAACCAAAGUAAAACCCCAUACACCCAAAUCUGAGCAAGCAUAACUAUAGCCACCAGUUAUCUGGGUGUGUCACAAGACACUCUUUUCUUUCCUUUGUUGGAGGAGAACUCAUUUCCACAGCUUCACUUUAGCAUUAUGGCUUAUGUUAAGGAGUCUAUGCAACUUCCAUGCUGAGACACGUUUUUGGUCCCAAAGUUAAUUCCAAGCUUUGUGUCAAAGGCCUAAGAAAACUGGAUCUUAGGGAUCCAGAAGCCAGACAAUAAUGAAAGUCAAAAGGCACAGCACAGGUGAGCAUGACUAAUUCCCGCUGAUUAAGCCAAGCUUCCUGUUUCAUGGAUAAAGGUCAUGCUAGUAUCCAUGGCAUAAAUGAGGUCUAGAGAACUAAAAGGCUACUGCCAGCAGGGGAGAUAGGGAGGACAUAAGACAGGGCAGCUAUUCCCAUCCCCUAGACCCCCUGUUAACAUGGAUGAAAGCCACUUUGACACCCAUGGGUGGCACCCUGUCACAGUUGGUGGGACUCAGCAAUACAGGGACAGAGGAAAGAAAGAGGAACAACUCACUUUCUCUCCCUCACACACCCUGAGUAUUUGCUAGAAAAAGAAAGGAACCAGGCACACAUGCUCCCCUAUUUCUAGAUGAGUAGCCAUUCAUCUUUAGUCUGCACCCUUUUAGAACAUGUCCUGAACCCCUGGGACUCUUCUGAAAAAAAUGCCUUCUUUUUUCCUUUUUCUUCCUCUGUCCUCUAUUCACUGGUAGGUAGGUAAUGGUGUCCCAUACCACAGAACACUUCCCUCAGAUGCAUCCUU